rnacentral:lncRNA from 1 species
UAGGAUUUGGUUUAGAAUUUGGUUAGGAUUUUAUUUAGGAUUUAGGAUUUGGUUAGGAUUUGAUUUAGAGUUUAGGAUUUGGUUAGGGUUUUAUUUAGGGUUUUGGAUUUAGAUUUGGAUUUGGUUAGGAUUUGAUUUAAGAUUUAGGGUUUGGUUUAGGGUUUGGUUUAGGAUUUGAUUGAGGUUUGAUUUAAGGUUUAUUUAGGGUUUGAUUUAGGGUUUAGGAUUUUAUUAGGAUUUAAGAUUUAAUUAAUUUUGGCCUAUAGUUUGAAUGAAGUUCAAUAGGAUUUUAACUAGAAUUAAAUUAAGAUUAAAUUGAGAUGUAUUUGAGUGAUAUUUGUAUUUUUUUUAAUGUUUCUUUAAGAAUUCUUAUUGUUUGUUUGAAAUUUCUUUGAGGUUUUAUUGAAUUUGAUUAAACUUACUUAACAUUAUUAUGGUCUAAUUAGAGUAUUGUUAGUAUUCUAUUAGAAUUAGGAUUUUGUUAUUACAAUUUUCAUUCUUCCUUCCAUAGCCAAGUGUCCGUAGCAUUCUCAAGGAAGACUUCACGUAUUACGACAUCGUGAAAGGUAAUGGAAAAUAAUCUUUCUUAGUGGCUGCAUUAAAUUUUUGAAAAUCGUGACAAAUUCGAAUUUUUCUAUUUUUUUUUGGCACCAUCACAAUUAGAGAAACUGACUCACUAUUCGAUACUGGAUAAAUAAAACCAACUGCAAGAAGCUUG